rnacentral:rRNA from 1 species
UACGGGGGGGGCAAGCGUUGUUCGGAAUUACUGGGCGUAAAGGGCGCGUAGGCGGUUGGAUAAGUCAGCUGUGAAAACCACGGGCUUAACUCGUGGCCUGCAGUUGAGACUGUCUGGCUUGAGUGUGGGAGAGGAGAGUGGAAUUCCUGGUGUAGCGGUGAAAUGCGCAGAUAUCAGGAGGAACACCAAUGGCGAAGGCAGCUCGCUGGAACGGUACUGACGCUGUGGCGCGAAAGCGUGGGGAGCAAACAGG